rnacentral:rRNA from 1 species
GAUGAACGCUGGCGGCGUGCUUAACACAUGCAAGUCGAGCGGAAGGGCGCUGCUUUUGUGGGGUUCCCGAUUGGCGCACGCGUGUGUAUCACGUGAGUAUCCCCCCCCUGUCUUUGGGAUAACUCUAGGAAACUGGGGCUCAUACCGGUUAUGAGCUUUUGCCGCAUGGUGGGGGUUGGAAAGCUUCGGCGGUUGGGGAUGGACUCGCGGGUUAUGAGCUUGUUUGGGGGGUAGGGGCUUACCAAGGGUUCGACGGGUAGCCGGCCUGGGAGGGGAACCGGGCACCUGUCGACUACGGUACGGCCCAGACUCGUACGGGAGGCAGCAGUGGGGAAUAUUGCACAAUAGGGGGAAGCCAGAUGCAGCAACGCCGCGUUCGGGAUGAUGGCCUUCGGGUUAGAAACCGCUGUGGCCUGUACCGAGGCGUGAUUGACGGUACUGGAUAAAGAAGCACCGGCUAACUACGUG